GACCUCGGAUCAGGUAGGGAUACCCGCUGAACUUAAGCAUAUCAAUAAGCGGAGGAAAAGAAACCAACAGGGAUUACCUCAGUAACGGCGAGUGAAGCGGUAAUAGCUCAAAUUUGAAAUCUGGCUCUUUCAGGGUCCGAGUUGUAAUUUGUAGAGGAUGUUUCGGGCACGGUUACGGUUUAAAUUUCUUGGAACAGAAUGUCAAAGAGGGUGAGAGUCCCGUCUUGAACCGAUUACUUCGUCCAUGUGAAACUCCUUCGACGAGUCGAGUUGUUUGGGAAUGCAGCUCAAAAUGGGUGGUAAAUUUCAUCUAAAGCUAAAUAUUGGCCAGAGACCGAUAGCGCACAAGUAGAGUGAUCGAAAGAUGAAAAGCACUUUGAAAAGAGAGUUAAACAGUAUGUGAAAUUGUUGAAAGGGAAGCGCUUGUAAUCAG
rnacentral:rRNA from 1 species